AAUGAACGCUGGCGGCAGGCCUAACACAUGCAAGUCGAGGGACCAGCGCACGGGUGAGUAACACGUAUCCGACCGGCCCUUUACUCGGGGAUCGCAUUUAGAAAGAAAGAUUAAUACCAGCUACACAGGAUGGGGAUGCGUUCCAUUAGGUUGUUGGUGAGGUAACUGCACACCAAGACUUCGAUGGAUAGGGGUUCGGUGAGGAAGCUCCCCCACAUUGGAACUGAGGCACUGUCCAAAAUCCUAGGGGAGGCAGGAGUAAGGAAUAUUGGUCAAUGGGCGCUAGCCUGAAACAGCCAAGUAGCGUGAAGGAUGAAGGCGUAUGGGUCGUAAACUUCUUUUAUAUAAGAAUAGGGAUUAUAUGAAUAAGGAUCGGCUAACUCCGUGCCAGCAGCCGCGGUAAUUC
rnacentral:rRNA from 1 species